rnacentral:rRNA from 1 species
AUGCGUCCUCCCAGCUCUCCGUCGCCCAUCAGAUCGUACCCAAUACUGCGUCCCCCCAGCCUCAACUCGCCAUCGCCCGUCUGCCUGGCGAUGAGGCAAGCGAAGUCCAGGGUUCUCCUCCCUACCGCCCCGCCUGGGUUCUCGUCCCCGCGCCUCCACAGCAGCCGCGGCCAGGAUUUGGUCGGCGACCUCGGCAGCCACAAGGACGACGGCGACCAAGUGUCCCAGGAUGAUGUUGGAAUAGCACCUGAUUUGGCUUCAGUCGACUUGUCUGCUGGAGAUACCCCAAGGCCCUCUGAGCAGCUAAUGUUGCUAGCCCAGCCUAGCUAUAAGAUGAAGAAUGUGGUGCCAGUUGUCCCCGAGGUCGCCACUUCUACAAGUCAUAACAGCCACGCUAUCGAGCAGACUGCGUGCAAAGGCAAAGGACAAACUGACGCUGAUGUUGUCACUUCGAAAGUUGUAGCCAUUGAAGAAGUGAUUACUGUGGAGGAUGCUGAAGAGCAAGUUCAAAUGGACGUUGAUCCACCUAGUCCAAGGCGAAAUCAAGUGGCGAUGGAUACCGAUCAUGAAACGUUACAAAAAAAUCCGGAAAUUCAGUCGGAUGCAAGUGUCCACGCGCCGACCAGUAUUGUACAAGCGAGUCCAAGUGCCUUGGUGGAUACGGCACCCCGGCCUGCAACGCCUCCCACUAUUCCAUGUGUACUGUAUCCGGUGGCCAGUCUUUCAGUGGAUGAGGAGGUUAGCGCCAGCAAAGGGGCCAUGAUUCAAGUCGAGCUGAUGAACUCCAAGCUGAACGAUGCACUCAAUACAAGUGAGGUUCUGAAAGCUCCUAUCCAAGAAGAAGUAGAAAGUCUCCGUGCGGAACUGGAGAAAGAGAAAAAGAAGAAUGAGAAGCUGGAGAAGGAGAAAGCAAUCAUGGGAGAGUGCCAAAACAAAUACCCCCAGAAGAGAAAAGGAGGAGAAGCAAAUUCCUCCUUUAAAGAUCACCUCCCUCCCCCAAAAAUUUCAAAUCAUAGUACAUAUAACGUGAGGGACAAAACAAGUAAAGGGAUGCUUGAUGUUGAAAUUUUUGAAUUGGAUCUUUGGACGGGCAUACAUCCGGAAAAGAAGAGUGACUAUGCGUACCUUGAUUCGAUGUGGUUUGAUAUGUACAUCAUUGGGAAACAUAAAUCAAAAGUCCUUAAAUGGGUAAAAGCUAAGAAAAUAUUCACAAGAAGAUAUGUAUUUGUCCCCAUUGUUUAUUGGGGACAUUGGAGCCUCCUUGUUUUGUGUAAUUUUGGCGAGACAAACUACUUGGGUACUCCAAAGGGGCCACGCAUUCUACUGUUGGAUUCACUUAGAACAACACAGCCAAAGAGGUUGCCAUCCGUCAUCAACAGGUUCCACAGCAAAGUGGAAAUGAUUGUGGGUGCAUUGUUCGACCCAGAGGUACUACAGAACCUGGAGGACAUCCGCAAGGCUAUUCUCUUAUACCAAGAGAAACAGGAUGCCACUAUUACAGAGUAG